CAGAGGCUAAACAAAAAACAAACAAAACAGGAAGCACAUGUUGUAGCCAGCAGUGUAAUUCAGUUUCAAAAUGUAGAGCAUAUUUGUUCCCAAAGUGACACAGAACAAUAAUAGCAGUGCCAGAAUCCAUUAACUUUUAUCAUGUUGCGCAAAUUUGUUCCACGGUGUCAGACUCUAGAAACCCCUGAAGCAUUUGAACUCAAACAGAACAAAGCAAACUUUGCACGAGAAUGAGUGCAAAAGCACCGAGCGCUUGCUAGACAUGUUGAAUCACUUUAUCAAACUGACUGCAGACUAGAUGGUCAAUCAGAGAAGUCAAUCAGCAGCUGGAUGAGCCAACUGACACACCUAAUCAAGAAAACCGCUGCAUGGUUCUAUGGCUUGGGGAGUGCCCCUGCCUCUGGUGACAUGGAGGUUGUUGAGUGCUGCCAGUCCAUGUGUAGUCUGUGUGUUGUGCAACAGUGCCCUCCAAUGGAGCCGUGGUGGCGCUAUUUCAAAAGGUUAGAGUCUGUCUGCUGGUGUAGAGGAGGGGUUUCCUGAGAGGCCUGAAGGAAACCAGACUGUGCACGAUUACCCAAGAGAAAAUAUCCAUCGACUGCUUAGAGUUUUAUGACACUUCAAUCAAUUUUUCCAUCUCUGGGGCGCAGUGAAAAUGGCAUUCAUACGGGGCCCUUUGUACCUGUCACAUGCUAUAUAUCUGGCAAUUCAUCUUUCUGUUUGAUAAUUCAAACGUGCUGUACUGUGUCUCUUAUGUGAUUACAAUAAACAGGCUUUUGAGGAGCCCUGUGAUGCUGCU
rnacentral:lncRNA from 1 species